GCCGUAAGACAGCUAGUGUUCUAUAUAUCUACGCACGUAGGUGAAGGCUUUUAUUUUGAAAACGUUGCGAGAUACCACCCAAAGGCUGUUUAGAGUCAAGGCGCACGAAGAUUUUGUGUGACGGCUGGCUUAACCGCGGAUGAACGAAUAGCGGCUCACUUGACCGCAGUUUUCGUUGUGGCGUCAUGGAUCCUUGGUUCAACGAUUCUCCCAAAAGAAUCGACAAAGACAAUGGAAGGGCCGGCUGGCAGUUCGCACCUUCCCGUGAAGUGACUGUGAAUCAUCCAAGAGGCAGAGGUGGAAGGGGGCUUUCGCAUUGACGGGACGCCGGGAGCAGACCAGGUCCAAGGAGCAGGUAUGAGCACCAUAACACAUAACACAACCAACCAAAUGAUUGUUUUAUGGUUCUCACCAGCAUUACGCGACCUAAUCAGCUAAAUUUAAUAUUAGAUAUGGUUAUUUUAAACAACGGGCUAUUGUAGACAGCGGAUACUCGAUUAUUACAAUCUAUCACAACCAGUUUAAUGGUCAACCAUAUCACACAACCAUGACAUGACUCCAACUGACCCAGACUAACCCCGACUGACCCCCGACUGACAACAGAAGUGUAUUGCCUAAUAUUGAAAAUGCAGAUUUUUAUAUUAUGAUAUUUUGUUAAUGUUUUAUGGCCAAAUGGCAACAAGGUGAAUUAAUGAACGUAUGAGAGAGAUUGUAAGAAGUAUGUGUUAUGGAAGGAGAAGAGAUAGAUGAGAACGUAAGGCAAGACAAGAUAAGAAAAGGGGUGGGGAGAGAGAUAACCCAUCUGCAUCGAGUUUUGUUCAAAUAGAUCCGGACCUGGACAACGCUCCUCCCCCUCCUGCUUUCAGCCCGACCAGUGGCCCAAUACAGUGCAAAUACCCCACGUCACAACUCCUCUGCAUCAGACUUUAUGAAGUUACAGACCAUGGGAGGCCCACCUGAAGAGCUACGGAACGGUCUGCUGGACGACACAAGGAGACAGUCCAGCAGGACCAAAGCACCAGAGUGGUGGCCUCCAUGGUGCCUGUGUAGCCACAUUGAAGUGGCCUGAACAAAGAGACAAAGGAGGGUCUCAGAGACGGGAGAGACGUGGGGACAGGCACUUCAAAGGACAGCCCGUGAUGCAAAUGAGAGGCAGAAAGCAAAGAGAGAGAGGUGGAGGCGUGUCCAGGCGGAUGUAAAGUAUCGCACUAGACACAGCAUACAUAUUACAAGAGAAAGACUAAUGUGUAACUAGGACUGUGUAUGAAUUGUGUGAUAAUUUCUUACAUCUGAAAGGUUUGAAAGUCAUCAGGAAAAGUGGUUUGAAGAAACAUAGACAAGUAGAAAAGUUGAAGGUUAAAGAAAUGUGUUAGACAGAGUUCAAAUGUACGACAGCGGUAGAAUUCAUUAAGGCACAAAACGUUAAAAUUGAACCCCAAAAAGCAUAACCAUGAUGUAUGCUACAAUGUUUUUCAGAAUUAAAGUAGAAGGUUUUGGUGCGCUCGCAACAGCAAGCCAUGCUUACAGGUCUGGGCUUUCCCUUAUUUAUGGUAAAUUGACACAUGGGAGAAUCAUGCGUCAAGAGGGGG
ensembl:lncRNA